UACGGGGGGGGCAAGCGUUACUCGGAAUUACUGGGCGUAAAGCGUGCGUAGGUGGUUUGUUAAGUCUGUUGUGAAAGCCCCGGGCUCAACCUGGGAAUGGCAAUGGAUACUGGCAAGCUAGAGUGCGGUAGAGGGUAGUGGAAUUCCCGGUGUAGCGGUGAAAUGCGUAGAGAUCGGGAGGAACACCAGUGGCGAAGGCGGCUACCUGGACCAGCACUGACACUGAGGCACGAAAGCGUGGGGAGCAAACAGGG
rnacentral:rRNA from 1 species